UAGCUUUGGUGGGAUGCUUAUUUUUGCAAUGAUGCUGGGACUUGUGUCCGAUGCAAUUUCUGAGAAGUUUGAUUCCCUGCGGAAAGGAAGAAGUGAGGUAGUUGAGCAAAACCACACCCUGAUUCUUGGAUGGAGUGAUAAACUGGGAUCAUUGUUGAACCAACUUGCCAUAGCCAAUGAGAGUUUGGGCGGAGGGAUUGUUGUAGUGAUGGCU
rnacentral:misc_RNA from 1 species